UAGUCAUAUGCUUGUGUUAAAGAUUAAGCCAUGCAUGCCUAAGUACAGGUAGCAAAACCGAAACUGCGGAUGGCUCAUUAUAACAGUUAUUAUUGAAAUAGUGAAUAAUUGGAAGAGUGAAGGCUGAGGGCAAGCCUCGCAAGGGGCAGACCUCUGUCUUUGGGAAUUCAAGAAUGAAAGAGAUAGAUGGAUAACCCUGCUAAUCGUAGAGCUAAUACAUGAAGUCAAGGCUCGAGGGAAAGUGGGAAGCAGACAGGCCGAGGCAUGGGGAGGGCGGAGAAGCAAAAAGUCAGGGCCCCGCAUUUGACAACCCUGCACCAACCCCGGGGCAAUGAGAAAGCCUGGGGUGGGGGAGGAUCAGACGCCGCGCCCAUGCGAGUAGGUUGCUGGAGCCCACACACCAGAGAGCCGCGUUUGUCAGCAAAGCGAGGAAGGAGAGCAGGCGAGGUGUUGCGGACGAGGAAGAGAGGAAACUCUCGAGUCGGCUGCGAUGGCUCAGCAUGAUAUUAGGAGACGAAGACAUGAGAAUGCAUCGUGGGGAAACGGGGGGAUACAACCUGGCCACAGAUGACAAUGUCAUGAGGAUAAAAACGGACCGUUGGAUGAGUCAAUUUGGGGAAGAGAAGUGAAAACAAAAAGCCGUUUGUUGAGAAUCUCAGAUCGACGGGGUGAAACUUGUUGAGAGGGGAGAGGAGACAAAAUGACAAAAAGCUGAAUCGACACGACGGGGGUGAAUGAGUCUCCAAGUGAGAUAGGACAAAGGAGCAAAUUGCAAUAAAGGGGUGUCCCUCUUCACGGGGGGACGUCUGGCAGUACACUAGAGAAAUUUCUGACCUAUCAACUAGAUGGUAGGAUAGGGGCCUACCAUGGUUGUCACGGGUAACGAGGAAUUAGGGUUCGAUUUCGGAGAGUUGGCCUGGGAAACGGCGAACACUUCCAAGGAAGGCAGCAGGCGCGUAAAUUACUCGGUGCCAAUACGGCGAGGUAGUAACGACAAAUACCAAUGCCCGACCUCCCCUCGGGGAGGGGGCAAUUGGAAUGGGUACAAUGUAAAGAUGUGUGCGAGUAACGAUUGGAGGGAAAGUCUGGUGCCAGCAGCCGCGGUAAUUCCAGCUCCAAGAGUGUAUACUAAAGUUGUUGCGGUUAAAAAGCUCGUAGUCGAUGUUAGGAGUUUCUCUGUUUGACAAUCUCACGAUUGAAUCUUUCAGGUUUGAUUAAUUAUUUUAUAAUUGAUUAAGAUUUUCUCCCUUUUCUCUAUUGUUUUUUGAUUUAAUCUUCGGAUUAAGUUGGGAAAGAUUUGAGAUGGGGGGGGCAAAUCAAACUCCUUAAUGUAUUUGGAUUAGUUAUUACAUGAUUUAAAUAUCAAAAGUAAUAGUAACAUUGAGGAUUGAUGAGUCAAAUCAUUUGGUCUCUCGGUGGAAACUACCAAAUCAAUUACUUUGAAUAAAAUAAAAUGUUCAAAGCAGGUUAACAGCCAGAAUAAGAUAGCAUAGGAUAAUAAGAAAACAAGGGAAGUGAAGCCUCCGUUCAGACAAUAGGAACAACAGAGCCUGAGUUGACGGGAAUGGGUUUCUCAGGGAUGCUCAUGAUUGAAUGACAACGAGCCGAAUGGAGCCACAAUGGGUGACUCCGCGGCGAAGGAUUCAAUUUGAGAACAGAAAGAAAGAUCAUUUGAAUGUUGAUUUCUAGAGGUGAAGUAAACUUCCACAAAUAAGAGUGAUUAAUAGGAACAGUCGGGGUGGUUUAUAUUUAAUAGCGAGAGGUGAAAUUCUAUGAGCUAUUCAAGAUAAACUAAAGCGAAAGCAUUCCACAAGGAUGAAUUCAUUGAUCAAGAACGAAAGUUGGGGGAUCGAAGACGAUCAGAUACCGUCGUAGUCUCAACAGUAAACGAUGCCGACCAGGGAUUGGAGAAAGUCGUAAAGAGUGGGUUAGACGAUGGGGGGAGUAAAAUCCCGCCCCAUGGUAUGACUCAUUUUAAAACAACUUUAAUAAUAGGACUUCUUCAGCACCUCAGAGAGAAAUCAAAGAGUGUUUGGGCUUCGGGGGAAGUAUGGUCGCAAGGCUGAAACUUAAAGGAAUUGACGGAAGGGCACUACCAGGAGUGGAGCUGCGGCUCAAUUUGACUCAACACGGGGAAACUUACCAGGUCCAGACAGUAGGAGGAUAGACAGAUUGAGAGCUCUUUCUUGAUUUGCUGGGUGGUGGUGCAUGGCCGUUCUUAGUUGGUGGUGUGAAUUGUCUGGUCAAUUCCGAUAACGAACGAGACCUUAACAUGAUAAAUAAGUUCAGCCAAGGCAAGUGGAGUGGAUUGGGAUCUGAGUCCGCAGCAAUGUGGAUUUGGGUUGUGAUUGGCUUCAUUCACUUGGCAGAAGAAAUGAUGUGGGUCGGGUCGAGUCAAAUCGAUGUGACUUCAUUAUAUGAACUUCUUAAAGGGACUAUUUGCGUAAUAUAACCAGCGAAUGGAAGUUUGAGGCAAUAACAGGUCUGUGAUGCCCUUUGAUGUCCUGGGCUGCACGCGCGCUACAAUGAUUGAAACAGAGAGUAAUAUUGCGUGGGGUGGGUGGGGGCGGCGAUGGCGAGCCUUCGGGCUCUCUUGUCUCGCUCCCUCCCCCCCGCCAAUGACCAGGGUUGAGGAAUACUGGGGAAACUUGAGAAAGUCAAUCAUGAUGGGGAUAGAUCAUUGGAAUUAUUGGUCUUGAACGAGGAAUUCCUCGUAAGCACAAGUCAACAGCUUGUGCUGAAUACGUCCCUGCCCUUUGUACACACCGCCCGUCGCUCCUACCGAUUGGAUGAUCCGGUGAAAAUUGUGGAUCCCGCCUGUCUUUGCUCCUCACGGGGUGGGAACGGGUGAGAGAAAUUAUUUGAACCUUAUUAUCUAGAGGAAGGAGAAGUUGUAACAAGGUAUCC
rnacentral:rRNA from 1 species